rnacentral:rRNA from 1 species
UAGGGAAUCUUCGGCAAUGGACGAAAGUCUGACCGAGCAACGCCGCGUGAGUGAAGAAGGUUUUCGGAUCGUAAAACUCUGUUGUUAGAGAAGAACAAGGACGUUAGUAACUGAACGUCCCCUGACGGUAUCUAACCAGAAAGCCACGGCUAACUACGUGCCAGCAGCCGCGGUAAUACGUAGGUGGCAAGCGUUGUCCGGAUUUAUUGGGCGUAAAGCGAGCGCAGGCGGUUUCUUAAGUCUGAUGUGAAAGCCCCCGGCUCAACCAGGGAGGGUCAGUGGAAACUGGGAGACUUGAGUGGAGAAGAGGAGAGUGGAAUUCCAUGUGUAGCGGUGAAAUGCGUAGAUAUAUGGAGGAACACCAGUGGCGAAGGCGGCUCUCUGGUCUGUAACUGACGCUGAGGCUCGAAAGCGUGGGGAGCAAACAGG